rnacentral:rRNA from 1 species
UACGGAGGAUCCAAGCGUUAUCCGGAAUCACUGGGCGUAAAGAGUUGCGUAGGUGGCAUAGUAAGUUGGUGGUGAAAGCGUGUGGCUCAACCAUAUACACAUCACCAAAACUACUAAGCUAGAGUAUAAGAGAGGUAGUUGGAAUUCCUAGUGUAGGAGUGAAAUCCGUAGAUAUUAGGAGGAACACCAAUGGCGUAGGCAGACUACUGGCUUAUUACUGACACUAAGGCACGAAAGCGUGGGUAGCAAACGGG